rnacentral:rRNA from 1 species
UGGGGAAUAUUGCGCAAUGGGCGAAAGCCUGACGCAGCAACGCCGUGUGAGGGAUGAAGGCUUUCGGGUCGUAAACCUCUGUCAGAAGGGAAGAACGGGUGAGGGUCUAACAGGCCUUUAUUUUGACGGUACCUUCAGAGGAAGCACCGGCUAACUCCGUGUCAGCAGCCGCGGUAAUACGGAGGGUGCAAGCGUUAUUCGGAAUUACUGGGCGUAAAGCGCACGUAGGCGGCCUUGUAAGUCAGGGGUGAAAUCCCACGGCUCAACCGUGGAACUGCCCUUGAAACUGCGGGGCUUGAAUCCUGGAGAGGGUGGCGGAAUUCCUGGUGUAGGAGUGAAAUCCGUAGAUAUCAGGAGGAACACGGGUGGCGAAGGCGGCCACCUGGACAGGCAUUGACGCUGAGGUGCGAAAGUGUGGGGAGCAAACA